UACGGAGGGUGCAAGCGUUAUCCGGAUUCACUGGGUUUAAAGGGUGCGUCGGUGGGCAGGUAAGUCAGUGGUGAAAUCUCCGGGCUUAACCCGGAAACUGCCGUUGAUACUAUCUGUCUUGAAUAUAGUGGAGGUGAGCGGAAUAUGUCAUGUAGCGGUGAAAUGCUUAGAUAUGACAUAGAACACCCAUUGCGAAGGCAGCUCGCUACACUAUCAUUGACACUGAGGCACGAAAGCGUGGGGAUCAAACAGG
rnacentral:rRNA from 1 species